rnacentral:lncRNA from 1 species
AGAGAUCCUCAAACACGAGUGUUGCAAGUCAGUUAAUGCGACCUGGACACAGAUGGGAACACCUGAACAUCAGCAAUAUGUCUGUCACUCUCCUUUGAAAACAUUCUCCAACAGGCCUUGUAAAAGGCCGACAGGCUCACUGUCUUGAUUUUUCUCAAGGAAGAAAAACCCAUACGCACUCCAAUGGAUCCUAACCAGAUCUAAUAUAGAACAGCUGCGCGCUUAUGAACGCAUGGGGAAGAUUGAAAAGCACAGAUUAACGCAUCCCAGAAAAGGAGCCAGCU